ensembl:lncRNA PPP1R3B-DT PPP1R3B divergent transcript
GCUGAGGGAAGAAUCAUGGGAAAGAGUAGAGACGGGGUUCCACCGUGUUAGCCAGGAUGGUCUCGAUCUCCUGACCUCGUCAUCCUCCCGCCUUGGCCUCCCAAAGUGCUGGGAUUACAGGCUUGAGCCACCGCGCCCCGCUCUUUCGUGUUCCAAAGGCUUUUUAAAUAAACUUCCACUCCUGUCCUGGAUUCUGCUUUAUGGCCCUCAGUCGAAUUCUUUCUUCUGAGGAGGCAAGGACUGAAGUUGCUUCUGACCAGUACAGAUUGGGAAGGAGAAAGUCACUUGACUCACAGGCCAACUGCUAUGGACUGAAUUGUGUCUUCCCCUCAUUAAUAUGUUGAAACCCUAUCCUCCCUCCAAUGUGAUGGUAUUUGCAGAUGGGGCUUUUGGGAAGUAAUGAAGUUUAGAUGAGGCAUGAGGGCUGGAUGGAUAUGAUCAGAUGAGUGCCCAAAGAAGAGACACCAGAGAGCUAGCUUCUUCUUUCUCUUUCCACCUUUACACACUGAGAAAAGGCCAAGUGAGCACACACCAAGAAGGCAGCCAUCUGCAAACCCAAGGAGAGAGUCCUCACUAGACACCCUGCUGGUACCUUGAUCUUGGACUUCUAGCCUCCAGAACUGUGAGAAAUAAAUUCCUGUUGUUCAAGCUAGUAUUAAUACCUGGUGUUUUGUUAUGGCAGCCUAAGUGACUAAGACACCAACUUAAUUUACUUAGCCAGGGUCAAUCAGUGGUAGGGCCCAGGAUUCUGACCCAGUUCUGCCUAACUCCACAAUUCAUGCUUUUUCUGGAUAUAAACAUCUGCCUUCCCAGUUUCCCUGACUCUUAGAGCCGUGGAGCAGUGUGUGUCAUGUGCUGCACACCCAGGCUGGAACAGCCUGUCUCCAGGAGAAAACGAAUACAGCAGGGAUGACUUCCACCAGCUCCACUUUGCAGCUCUGAGGUGUAUUAAAAAUAAACCUAGAGCCCCACCAAAUGAAUCCGCUGGCACGUGGACCUCAGAUGGGGGAAACUGAGGACUGAAUUCUGACCACCCUCCUUUGUUCUAAAUUUCUUCCUGAAGGACCUGGAAGAAGUCAUGCCACGGGCCAGACCUUAACAUUCCUUUCGGCUUACCCCAGGAUUUCAGACGAAGCUUCACUUUCCUAACCAGUCACAAAUCAGAGAAUUUUUGAUUCCACCUAUGACCUGUGAGCUCCUGCUUCAAGAUAUUCCACCUUUUUUAGGCCAAACCAAUGUAUAACCUCCAAGUGUCGAUUUACACUUUCGACUGUAACUUCUGCUUUCCUGAGAUUUACCCCUGCCUUUAAAAACCCUUGCUUGUAAUCCCUCAGGGAGGCCGUGUAUUUAUUAAUCAUGAGCUGCCCAAUUCUCCUUGCUUGGUGCCCUGCAAAUAAACACCCUCUUUUCUCCCACUGCAAAA